rnacentral:rRNA from 1 species
GAUGAACGCUGGCGGCGUGCCUAAUACAUGCAAGUCGAGCGAACAGACGAGGAGCUUGCUCCUCUGACGUUAGCGGCGGACGGGUGAGUAACACGUGGAUAACCUACCUAUAAGACUGGGAUAACUUCGGGAAACCGGAGCUAAUACCGGAUAAUAUAUUGAACCGCAUGGUUCAAUAGUGAAAGACGGUUUUGCUGUCACUUAUAGAUGAAUCCGCGCCGCAUUAGCUAGUUGGUAAGGUAACGGCUUACCAAGGCAACGAUGCGUAGCCGACCUGAGGGGGUGAUCGGCCACACUGGAACUGAGACACGGUCCAGACUCCUACGGGAGGCAGCAGUAGGGAAUCUUCCGCAAUGGGCGAAAGCCUGACGGAGCAACGCCGCGUGAGUGAUGAAGGUCUUCGGAUCGUAAAACUCUGUUAUUAGGGAAGAACAAAUGUGUAAGUAACUAUGCACGUCUUGACGGUACCUAAUCAGAAAGCCACGGCUAACUACGUG